rnacentral:rRNA from 1 species
UACGUAGGGACCAAGCGUUGUUCGGAUUUACUGGCGUAAGGGCGCGUAGCGGCGCUGUAAGUCACUUGUGAAAUCUCUGAGCUUACUCGGAACGUCAAGUGAUACUGCAGUGCUAGAGUGCGGAAGGGCAAUCGGAAUUCUUGGUGUAGCGGUGAAUGCGUAGAUAUCAAGAGGAACACCUGAGUGAGACGUGCUGCGACACUGACGCUGACAGCGCGAGCAGGAGCACAGAUAGACUACGUAGUCAGCAC